AUUGAACGCUGGCGGCAUGCCUUACACAUGCAAGUCGAACGGCAGCACGGGUGCUUGCACCUGGUGGCGAGUGGCGAACGGGUGAGUAAUACAUCGGAACAUGUCCUGUAGUGGGGGAUAGCCCGGCGAAAGCCGGAUUAAUACCGCAUACGAUCUACGGAUGAAAGCGGGGGACCUUCGGGCCUCGCGCUAUAGGGUUGGCCGAUGGCUGAUUAGCUAGUUGGUGGGGUAAAGGCCUACCAAGGCGACGAUCAGUAGCUGGUCUGAGAGGACGACCAGCCACACUGGGACUGAGACACGGCCCAGACUCCUACGGGAGGCAGCAGUGGGGAAUUUUGGACAAUAGGCGAAAGCCUGAUCCAGCAAUGCCGCGUGCGUGAAGAAGGCCUUCGGGUUGUAAAGCACUUUUGUCCGGAAAGAAAUCCUUGGCCCUAAUACGGUCGGGGGGAUGACGGUACCGGAAGAAUAAGCACCGGCUAACUACGUG
rnacentral:rRNA from 1 species